GAUGAAGAACGCAGCGAAAUGCGAUAAGUAAUGUGUAUUGCAGAAUUCAGUGAAUCAUCGAAUCUUUGAACGCACAUUGCGCCCGCCAGUAUUCUGGCGGGCAUGCCUGUUCGAGCGUCAUUACAACCCUCAGGCCCCCGGGCCUGGCGUUGGGGAUCGGCGGAGCCCCCCGUGGGCACACGCCGUCCCCCAAAUACAGUGGCGGUCCCGCCGCAGCUUCCAUCGCGUAGUAGCUAACACCUCGCGACUGGAGAGCGGCGCGGCCACGCCGUAAAACACCCAACUCUUCUGAAGUUGACCUCGAAUCAGGUAGGAAUACCCGCUGAACUUAAGCAUAUCAAUAAGCGGAGGA
rnacentral:misc_RNA from 1 species